rnacentral:rRNA from 1 species
AUUGAACGCUGGCGGCACGCCUUACACAUGCAAGUCGGACGGUAACGGGCCUUCGGGUGCCGACGAGCGGCGAACGGGUGAGUAAUGUAUCGGAACGUACCUUUCAGUGGGGGAUAACGUAGCGAAAGUUACGCUAAUACCGCAUAUUCUGUGCGCAGGAAAGCAGGGGAUCGCAAGACCUUGCGCUGAUUGAGCGGCCGAUAUCAGAUUAGCUAGUUGGUGAGGUAAAGGCUCACCAAGGCGACGAUCUGUAGCGGGUCUGAGAGGAUGAUCCGCCACACUGGAACUGAGACACGGUCCAGACUCCUACGGGAGGCAGCAGUGGGGAAUUUUGGACAAUGGGGGCAACCCUGAUCCAGCCAUGCCGCGUGAGUGAAGAAGGCCUUCGGGUUGUAAAGCUCUUUCGGCCGGGAAGAAAUCGUAUCAGCUAAUACCUGGUGCGGAUGACGGUACCGGCAUAAGAAGCACCGGCUAACUACGUGCCAGCCGCCGCAGUAAAAC